rnacentral:piRNA from 1 species
UGAGUAUGCCAUGCGUUGGAAGG